rnacentral:lncRNA from 1 species
CAGCCUCCCAAAGUGCUGGGAAUAUAGGUGUGAGCCAAAGUGCCUGGCUGCUUGUGACGCUUAAAGUAAAGUGGAGCAGUGGACAGGAUGGAAUGAGUGCUGAGACUGCUUACCCUUUGGUGAGGCUGAGGGCUGGGGAGGGAGGAGUGAGCAAGUGAGGCUCUCUUCACUCCAACCAAGGCAGGAAUAGAAGCUAAGGGAGCAGCUGCGUUAGAGGAAUGCAGAACUCCCAAAUUCCAAGCAUCCAUGAUAACCACCUCUCCAGAGAAGUCUAAACAGGCCUGUUUUGGAAGUGAGUGCUAAGAGCAGGCAAAUGGGAAGAAAUGUCUGCAAAAUAUCUUUAUUAUUUUACCAUUAACACCAAUAUUUCUAGGUCAGAAGGAAGUUUGAUGAGCUCACCACGCAAGACUACAUGGUUACUGACUGGAAUGGCCAUCAGGAGGGCAGAGAGCCACUGCGCCUCUUUCUGCUGAGGGUUGUGGAUACAGAUGGGAAUUUGAAACCUUCUUUCCUGUUUGUGUGAAAAAUUCAGACUACUGGCAAAUUCUACCCUGGAAACUGACUAUGGGUCAAUGGGAGUCCGCUGGCGAAUGGAUACCGCCUGUUCUGUUUCCAAUUCAUCAGGAACCAUGUGGAGAAUUAAUAUCCUGCCCGUCCAGAAGGAAGGGAGUUAUUAUGGACAGCAAAGAGGAAAGGUAGCCAAGUUCAGAUGUUCCCCAGGCUGUGGCUGCUGAAAGUCAAACAGUAUGAAGUAUAAUGAAGGCAUAUCACAGCCUUCCUGUACUCAGAAACACUGGACGGCACUUCCACAAUAUGCUCUGAGGGCCACUUUGAGGAGUGAAAGCACCAACAGCAAGCACAAAAAUGAAAAAAAAAAAAAAAGGCACUGCACAGGCUGUGCAAGGACACCUGUUGGCUGUCUGAGAGCUGAAGCUAGAAGGUAGGGUUGCCUGGUUUCCACCUCAUCUGGCACAUGAGCAGCCAGAGACUCGGAUUUUUGCCCCUAUGGGCAUGUCUACAGAUGACUGGAAAAGAGCUGCAAGUAUUGAUUUUGGGGUCACGAAUACAUUUUAGCAAGUAGGUAAAUUAGCAAAUAUGGAAUCUGUGUAUAAUGAAGAUUGACUAUGUCCUAUUUCUGUGCUACCCUGAAUUUAUGUGGAUAUGUGAUGAUUUUAACAACACUACGGCUCAAUUAUGCAUGUGACUUCAUGCUAGUUUUAGCGCCAUUUAGAUUUUGAACUGUAAGUUUAUCUUGCAUGAUUUUAUUAUUUCUUUCCAUCCCACUUAAAGAAAGGUAGAGAAUUGCCUGUGGUUUACUGGUAGUGGUGACGGUGAAUUUCCUCCAGGGCACGAAACUAGCUUUCCAGGGGUAAUACGAAUCAGCUACAGAGCAACACAAAAGGAAUUAAUAGAAAUGUAAUCUCAAAAGGUACUUCUGUUUAAAACCACAAAAUCUUAUGUACUAUUUAUUAUCUGUAAAACCACAAAAUCUUAUGUACUAUUUAUUAUCUGUGGGUUGAAAAUAAAUUUCAGAAUCCAAAGAGGAUUGAAAGGGUACAAAAACUAAAGGAUUGUUUGACAUAUAUGAGUAUUUUCUGUUUUUCACUGAUUGUUACCAGAGACUAGAAUUGUAUGAUUAAAUGAAUGGAAAUAUUGUAUCUGUAAUGAUACUUAGAGAGACUUUAUAAAUAUGGCGGUCCUUACACUCUUUCAUACUUAUGAGAGGAAAAUUUUUGCUGGAGUAUGUGAAAAUGCUGAUCAAUCUGUCUGCUCUGCUCACAUUUUUCUCAGAUCAUUUGUGUCUACAGCUGAGAGAUGUGAAGCCAUAUCAUGCCACUUUUCCUGGCCAGAGUUGAUUAGACCAGGAAUGGACACCUGACCCAAGAUGGGCUAAUAAUAAUUGUUACCCUAGAGUCAUCAUAAACAGGGCAAACCAUUUAGUGGAAUAGAGUAUCCAGAAAUAGAUCCAGAAAAAUGUAUAAAUUUGACAGAUGACAAAGGACAUAUUUCAAUUUCUUGAGGAAAAGACACUGUAAUGCUGGUGCUAGCAUAAUUUGCUCUCCAUCUAAAAGAAAUGAAACCAGAC